rnacentral:tRNA from 1 species
GGAGAGGUGCCGGAGCGGCUGAACGGGCUGGUUUCGAAAACCAGUGUGGCGGCAACGUCACCGGGGGUUCGAAUCCCCCCCUCUCCG